rnacentral:sRNA from 7 species
AGCCAGCUCCGUCUGCAUCCAAACCCACACACGUGUCGACACGAUGGCCUGGGUGCCCCGAGCUUCAGGGUUCGCGGGUUGGUCAUUGGGAUACGUGGAGGCCCAACC